AUUGAACGCUGGCGGCAUGCCUUACACAUGCAAGUCGAACGGCAGCACGGGAGCAAUCCUGGUGGCGAGUGGCGAACGGGUGAGUAAUAUUUCGGAACGUGCCCAGUCGUAGGGGAUAACGUAGCGAAAGCUACGCUAAUACCGCAUACGAUCUAUGGAUGAAAGCGGGGGAUCGCAAGACCUCGCGCGAUUGGAGCGGCCGAUAUCAGAUUAGGUAGUUGGUGAGGUAAAGGCUCACCAAGCCGACGAUCUGUAGCUGGUCUGAGAGGACGACCAGCCACACUGGGACUGAGACACGGCCCAGACUCCUACGGGAGGCAGCAGUGGGGAAUUUUGGACAAUGGGCGCAAGCCUGAUCCAGCAAUGCCGCGUGCAGGAUGAAGGCCUUAGGGUUGUAAACUGCUUUUGUACGGAGCGAAAAGGCUUCCACUAAUACUGGGGGCUCAUGACGGUACCGUAAGAAUAAGCACCGGCUAACUACGUGCCAGCAGCCGCGGUA
rnacentral:rRNA from 1 species